CCCGGCGGGGGCUGCGGGGAGGAGGAGUUUGCGUGGCAGUAUCUUGCUCAGGGAUGCUCUCGGGAAAGCUCCAGCACAAAGAGGCUGCAGGGCGGCCAGGAGCGUGCGGAGCCCGGCUGCCCCCAGCCCAGCCCUCCCCGGGAAAGCAGAAACCUCAUCAAGAAUAGGGCUCGAGACAGGUAAAUGGAUUCUUGCCUGAUUUGCAAUGCUGCUGGAAGGAAAUGUAGCCAAAAUGCUGGUUUACUUCUUUGUCUUGAAACCACCAUUUUCUCCUAAACCUGGUGAUCGUAGGUAGGGGGUUAGAGGAGAGGCUGGGGCCAGCACGGCUCCAGGGCACGUCAGCACAGCCCUUCCCCUGCAAAGCUUCGCCUGACAGAUGCUGCCCGGGCUCCUUUUGGGGAGCCAUUUUCUCGCCCUCAUUGUCUCACCGCCUUUUGUGUGUGAGAGCACAUCCUGCCCCGGGGAGCCAGGAUGAGACAAGAAAUAAUCAGAUUCUUCAGUCACUUCUGGGCUGGCAGGGAGGCUUUCUCACCAUCCCCCCCCCCCCCUCCACACAUACACACACACACAUUUCUCCCAGGGCUGCCCAGCCCCGGGAGCUGCAGACAAAGGGAGGCAGCGCUGGCACGGCUGCGGCAGCAGCACCAGAGAUCUGGGCUCUGCCGGGUGAUGGUGAGGGAUGGGCAGAGCUGGCAGGGCCGUGGGGAGGGCGCAUCAGCCCAUCCUGCCAGGAGCUGGGCGCUCGGGGGUGCUGCAUUUCGGAGAUCACCUCUCCGGGCACGGGCAGCAGAGCCGCCGGCAUCGUGUCCUGCAGCCCUCACCUCACCCUGCUCCUGCAGAGCUGCUCUCCCCUCCAGCCUCCUCCUCACUCGAGGGGGGUUUUACCCCCCCAUUUAUCCCGGGUGCUCCUGGGUGCUCAGCCCCGGCGGCACCAUAUGUGUAGCAGGGCCAGCUGGAGCUCACGGCUGGCAACGGCCACUCGCCACGCACAAGAUGAGCAUUUGGACAAGCGCUGCCUGCACAAAAUUGUUUUUCUUUCCCCCCCCCCCACCCCCCCCCCCCCAUCUCCUGGGAUAUGCUUCUUUGCUGAGCGAGGGAGGCCAUUCUGCAGCGGUCACCCCGUGCUGGCACAUCCCGCCUGCCACCCCCCCCCCUCGGAUCCGGGCAGGGGAUCCUCUUGCCAGAUGCUCGAUGGCAUCUCCGGUGCCUGGCGCUGUCCGGCCCCCCCCCCGCCGAGCCCGAGCCCGGUUCCCGCUGCCCACAGCUGGGUUGCAAAUGCUGCCUGGACGUGCUGUCCCCAUAGCGGGGGGGGGGGACACACACACGGACUGUCCCGCAGGCAGUGUCGGCAACGGGCAGCAGUGACCCGCGGGAAGCUGUAGCAGCUCCGCAGCUGAACUGCAGAGUCAUCACAGCCCAGCUCGUGGCUUUUCCACGCAGGCAGCGUGGGAGGGAAGGGAGGGCGGGCAGCGUGGGAGGGAGGGAGGGGGGGCAGCGUGGGAGGGAGGGAGGGGGGGCGGGCAGCGUGGGCUGGCUGCUGGCCCCCGCCACAGCCAGUGAGUGACCCGGUUUAACUGCAGAGCAGAGGCGGCAGUGGCAGCACUGGCAGAGGCAGCGGUGGGAGGCUCUGCCUGGGUUCCUGCCUGCCCUGCCCUGCCUGCCCCUCCUGCCGGGGUCCCCCCCGAUGCACCCCCCCCGGCUCGGCUCGGUUCGACUCGGCUCCGCUCUGCCCGGGGCCGCCGGCGCCGCUUUGCUCUCCCUUGCUGCGUUGGUUGCUUUCUUUUGCAGCUGCUAAUGACUGACCUGAGGUCUGUUCACACGCAGUCCCCUGCGCGCCCGCGGCGGUGGAACAGCCAGACAAGGAUGGGGGGGGACAUUGCACAGCACUCGCGUAGCCGGUGACCGCAGGGGCACAGCCCCAGCUCCUGCCUGGCCAUCCCGGCCGUGCCCGCAGGGGAGCCGGGGCUCGGGGAGCCGCCGUCGCUGCCUGCACACGGAUGCCGGAGCCGGUGCCGGCUGCCACGGGCCGGAGCCGCAGGCCCGGCUGCUGCGGGGGACACGGCCGAAGAGACGGCGGGGGUGACACCUGAGGACACGGGUCUGCGUGCGCGCGCGGUUUUCCCGCAAGGUGCUGGGGAUCCCUUCCCUCCCGCUGCUCCAUCCCGGCCAGACCCUGCGCGUGGGUCUCGCCAUGUGCCCCCCCCCCCCCCCCCCAGCAAUGGGCAGGGCACGGGCAGGAUGAGACCCGUCCCCUUUGCUGAAUGCAGUGUAGGAGGAGGGAGAAGGGGACAGGGACGGGAGCAGAGCUGUGCCAGCUCCUCAAGGAGACGCCAUGGCCAGAUCCCAAAGGGUUGUCCCCACUGAUCCUGCCUGUCCCUCUGUCUGUCAGCACAGUCCCAGUGCUUUCUGCUCUGGAAGUGCCACCGGUCCCCCGUCCCAGCAGGACCCUGCCUCUACUCUGCUUUCAGGAAACGCCUGGUUUGUGGAGCCAUGGGGAGGGACACGGGCAGCGCAUCCUCCUCCCGAGAAGCCUGUGGCAUGGCCCCCGUGGGGCCGUGGGGGGCCAGCAGUGACCCCAUGAGUGGGUGCGACCGUCACCCCGCUGCGCGCUCCAGCCAGUGUCCCCUGAGCAGGCGGGAGGGCUGGGCGUGCAGUGGGCUGGGGGCUGAGGCCAGACGCAGCUCGUGGCAGGCGUUACAGCCCCUACGAGUCCAAACUGGAGGAGCAUCCUUGUUGGGGACCAGAGGGACCCCAUGCUCCAGGAGGCGCCCCAGAGGAACACAGGGCGGGGGGUGCCCUAGGUGCCCCUUCCCAGCCUUAUUCCUCAGGGCAUGGUGCAGAACUCCUUGCUGCCCCUUGGCAAAAUCAGCCCGGCUCCCCACGGAGGGGCCGCUCAUGAUGGGGAGGGGAGAAGCUACCGGCACCUUUCCUCUGCUCCCAUCUCCCCUCUCCACGGGCAGUGGGAGCUCGGUGGAGAGCCAGAGCAGCCGUCACUGCCUCGGCAGAAGCCCUGCGCUCGCAGAGCUGGCCGUAGCCUUGCCCCAGGCACCGCCAGCGAUGCUUUCACCCCUUCCCUCUCUCUGCUUCUUCCAGCUCCUUUAGCACCCCGACCCUGGAGCCUUCCAAUGCCAACUUCACAGUCCGGCACUGCCGGGGUUGUCUCCUCCCUGCAGCCCGUCUCUCGUCUUCACUGUUGAUCUUGUGCCUCUGAUGCAUGCGGAAGCCGUUGCCGGCAGCGUGGUCCCGACUAACCGCACGGCGCCGAGGGCUGCGUCUAACUGCUGGGUUGGUACUCGCAGGGUGUCCCCCCCCCCCCCCCAGCCACGAGCUGAGCAGGCAGGAGCGGGCAGGAAUGGGCAGGAACAGGCAGGAGCGGGCAGAUGCAGGCAGGAGCAAGCAGAUGCAGGCAGGAGCAGAUAGAUGCUGGCAGGAGCAGGCAGGAGCAAGCAGAUGCAGGCAGGAGCGGGCAGGAGUGGGCAGGAGUGGGAAGGAGCAGGCAGGAGUGGGCAGGAGCGGGCAGUGGGCGGUGAAGGGUGGCUCUGCUGCCAGCUGAACCAGGGUGCUGCUGGAGCGCAGCCCGUGCUUUGCUUUCUGUCCGCCUGUCAGUCGGAUAAACGUCCCCUGCCUCUACAGGACUGCAGCCGGGGUUACGGCUCCAGGAUCUGGCCCGUCGGUGUGUGUUUGGCCCGCAGGCUGGCGGUCCCUGGUGCCACGGUCAGCAGCACAGCGGUGCUGUGGUGACCGGCGGGGCAGGACCAAGCCCUGCGUGCCAGGAGGAGAGGAUGGUGGCCCCGUGCUGCUGGCCGGGGUGGGGGAUGGCUCAUGGGGACAUCCUGGAGCAUGGCUGUUGGGGGACACAGCGGGGGGGGGGGGGCUGCCUCUGCCAAGGCUCAGGGCGGCUCUGUGGACAGAUCUGGGCAGCAUCCAGCUCUGGCUGCUCUCUCUUGGCUUUGGCUUGUGCUCACUAGCCCCGUGGCCAGGACAUCCCCAGAUAACCCAGCAUCUCUGGCCGGCUUCGGUCUCACCCCACAGCCCCUCUCCUGCCUGCCGCUGGAAGGCAGAGGUAGAGUGGGGUCCCCUGGGCAGCCGGGUUCACCCCAAGACUGUCCCACCUCCCCUUGGCAUCUUCACCGACCGCAGCCUGGUCCUUCAGCUGGGGGGGGUCUUGCUGGGCUCUCACGCUGAUGGGGGUCCCCUCUCCAUCCAGCUCCACACUGCCCGACCUCCACCUUAACCCACUAACCACGCGCUUCCCUUUCCUCGGCACGGCUGGGACCAGGGGGGAUUUUGGGCUGAUACUCUUGUGUUUGAUGGAAGAGGGAGGCAGGGCCCCGCUGGGGCUGGGGGGCAGAGGAUGGAGCAGAGGUGUGGGCACAGGGACGAGGUGGGGCCAGGAGGACAAGCUGGGGUGGGCACAGGGCAGGCAGGUGCCCAUCGGAGCAGGCAGGUUCAGGGCUCCCACACAGUUCAGGAGCACCACGAGCACUGGGAACCCUCCUAUUACCAGGGGUUGCCCUCCCUGCCCCCACGAACCCCCCCCUUUCAAACUCCAGAGCCGCCCUCAGGCCAGCCCCAUGGCCAGGGGGACCUCCCCCCAGGCUGGUCACUGAGGGGAGCGAUGGGACCACAAGUCACCCAGAUGGCCCAGAGGAUGCACUGGGCAAGUGUGACCCCACACAGGCAGCAAGUGCUGCCCAUGGACCCCUCGGUGGGGACAGGCCACCAGCACAGGGCCACCCCCUCUGAACCGGGGGAUUGGCAGGGGGACAGAGGCUUCACAAAACAGCCAGUUUGCUCCUUUGCUCUGCCCCAUCACUUCAGGGCUCCCUGACCCUGCUCCCCCAUUUCCCAUGGCUGGGAGAGGAGUCAGUCUGUCUGUCUGUCCGUCCCCCCUGGCUGGUGCCCCCAGAGCUGUCCAAAGAGGGGAGGUGGCAGUGCAAGCGGGGCGUGAUGUGUAGAUUCCCCCAUUCCCAGCUGCAGCGAUGGUGGGCGUGGGGCAGGGUCACCCCCGCAGCGACGUGGGCAGCAUCGUCCUGCCCUGGGGUGCAUCGUCCUGCCCAGGGCUCUGCCGGGACCCCACUGCCACCCCACGCCCGUGGGAGUGGGCACGGCCGCCGUGGGGCUGGGCGCUGGCGUGGGGCGAGGAUGCUUAGGGGAAGGGGGUCCUGGGGCUGCCUCAGCGGUGCGAGCGGGAGUCCCGCCGGCUCCCCACGGUCCCUACUGCCUGUAAUGUCAGCUGUGAACAUGGCAAGUGUGCAAAGA